rnacentral:rRNA from 1 species
UGGGAACGUGCCCUUUAGUACGGAAUAGCCAUUGGAAACGAUGAUUAAUACCGUAUACGCCCUCCGGGGGAAAGAUUUAUCGCUAUCGGAUAAGCCCGCGUCGGAUUAGCUAGUUGGUGAGGUAAUGGCUCACCAAGGCCACGAUCAGUAGCUGGUUUGAGAGAACGAUCAGCCACACUGGGACUGAGACACGGCCCAGACUCCUCCGGGAGGCAGCAGUGAGGAAUUUUCCGCAAUGGGCGAAAGCCUGACGGAGCAAUACCGCGUGAGGGAUGAAGGAUUUUGGUCUGUAAACCUCUUUUCUCAAGAGAGAAGUUCUGACGGUACUUGAGGAAUAAGCAUCGGCUAACUCCGUGCCAGCAGCCGCGGUAAUACGGGGGAUGCAAGCGUUAUCCGGAAUCAUUGGGCGUAAAGCGCCUGUAGGUUGUUUAAUAAGUCUGUUGUUAAAGACUAGGGCUUAACCCUAGAAAAGCAAUGGAAACUACUAGACUAGAGUAUGGCAGGGGUAGAGGGAAUUUCUAGUGUAGCGGUGAAAUGCGUAGAUAUUAGAAAGAACACCGGUGGCGAAGGCGCUCUACUGGACCAUUACUGACACUCAGAGGCGAAAGCUAGGGUAGCAAAAGGGAUUAGAUACCCCUGUAGUCCUGGCCGUAAACGAUGAACACUAGGUGUCGGG